rnacentral:rRNA from 1 species
AUUGAACGCUGGCGGCAGGCCUAACACAUGCAAGUCGAACGAGUGGCGGACGGGUGAGUAAUGUCUGGGAAACUGCCUGAUGGAGGGGGAUAACUACUGGAAACGGUAGAUAAUACCGCAUACCCUCAGAUGCGCCCAGAGGGGAUUAGCUUGUAGGUGGGGUAAUGGCUCACCUAGGAGACGAGCCCUAGCUGGUCUGAGAGGAUGACCAGCCACACUGGAACGGAGACACGGUCCAGACUCCUACGGGAGGCAGCAGUGGGGAAUAUUGCACAAUGGGCGCAAGCCUGAUGCAGCCAUGCCGCGUGUAUGAAGAAGGCCCUCGGGUUGUAAAGUACUUUCAGCGAGGAGGCGUUACUCGCAGAAGAAGCACCGGCUAACUCCGUGCCAGCAGCCGCGGUAAUAC